rnacentral:lncRNA from 1 species
AACUAUUAUACAAACAUUACACCGCCAGACUGCUAUGUUCUCACGAGGUAUACGGCAAGCACAACGAAGAAAUAACAUUUCAGCCUGUUAUUUUGAGGGGAAGUGAUCAGAGAUUGUUGCAUUGUUUUAUGGUUUUUGCCAUGGAUGUAUUACACUAAAGUUUUUUAUGUCCAAUGCUAGACUUUACCAUAAAGUUAGCUAAAA